rnacentral:rRNA from 1 species
UACGGAAGGUCCGGGCGUUAUCCGGAUUUAUUGGGUUUAAAGGGAGCGUAGGCGGGCCUUCAAGCCGGCCGUGAAAUCCCGUGGCUCAACCACGGGACUGCGGUCGGAACUGCAGGCCUUGAGUGCGCGCAGCGGCGCCGGAAUUCGUGGUGUAGCGGUGAAAUGCUUAGAUAUCACGAAGAACUCCGAUCGCGAAGGCAGGUGCCGGGAGCGCAACUGACGCUGAGGCUCGAAAGUGCGGGUAU